rnacentral:rRNA from 1 species
ACUCAAAGGAAUAGACGGGGACCCGCACAAGCGGUGGAGCAUGUGGAUUAAUUCGAUACUAACCGAAGAACCUUACCCAGGUUUGACAUCGAGGGUAAGCCUAUGAAAGUAGGCCCUCUCCCACAAGGAGACCCGAAGACAGAUGUUGCAUGGCUGUCGUCAGCUCGUGCCGUGAGGUGUACGGUUAAGUCCGCCAACGAGCGCAACCCUCGUCCUGUGUUACCAGCGAUUAAAGUCGGGCACUCACAGGAGACCGCCGGUGUAAGCCGGAGGAAGGUGGGGAUGACGUCAAGUCAGCAUGGCUCUUACGCCUGGGGCUUCACACAUGCUACAAUGGGCGCAACAGAGGGACGCAAUGCCGCGAGGUGGAGCAAAUCCCAAAAAUACGCCCCCAGUUCAGAUUGUAGUCUGCAACUCGACUACAUGAAGUCGGAAUCGCUAGUAAACGCAGGUCAGCUAUACUGCGUUGAAUACGUUCCCGGGUCUUGCACACACCGCCCGU